CCCCUAGAUGUUCUGGGCCGCACGCGCGCUACACUGAACAGUUCAACAAGUCUUAACCUUGGCCGAUAGGUCUGGGUAAUCUUUGAACGCUGUUCGUGAUUGGGAUAGACCUUUGCAAUUAUGGGUCUUCAACGAGGAAUUCCUAGUAAACGCAAGUCAUCAGCUUGCAUUGAUUACGUCCCUGCCCUUUGUACACACCGCCCGUCGCUCCUACCGAUUGAAUGGUCCGGUGAAAAUUUCGGAUACCGGCAUUGCUGGCGGUUCGCCGCCGGCGACGCUGGUAGAAGAUCUUUAAACCUUAUCAUUUAGAGGAAGGAGAAGUCGUAACA
rnacentral:rRNA from 1 species